rnacentral:rRNA from 1 species
GCCCACCAAGGCGACGAUGUCUAGGGGUUCUGAGAGGAAGGUCCCCCACACUGGAACUGAGACACGGUCCAGACUCCUACGGGAGGCAGCAGUGAGGAAUAUUGGACAAUGGAGGCAACUCUGAUCCAGCCAUGCCGCGUGAAGGACGAAGGCCCUAUGGGUCGUAAACUUCUUUUGUCGUAGAGCAAUAAGGUGUACGCGUACAUCGAUGAGAGUAUACGACGAAUAAGCAUCGGCUAACUCCGUGCCAGCAGCCGCGGUAAUACGGAGGAUGCAAGCGUUAUCCGGAUUUAUUGGGUUUAAAGGGUGCGUAGGCGGACGUAUAAGUCAGCGGUGAAAGGUACCGGCUCAACCGGUGAGCUGCCGUUGAAACUGUGCGACUGGAAUGCGGAUGCCGUGGGAGGAAUGUGUGGUGUAGCGGUGAAAUGCUUAGAUAUCACACAGAACACCGAUUGCGAAGGCAUCUCACGAAUCCGUUAUUGACGCUGAGGCACGAAGGCGUGGGGAUCAAACAGGAUUAGAUACCCUGGUAGUCCACGCGGUAAACGAUGAUGGCUAACUGCCGGCGAUAUAGUGUCGGUGGCCAAGCGAAAGCGAUAAGCCAUCCACCUGGGGAGUACGACCGCAAGGUUGAAACUCAAAGGAAUUGACGGGGGCCCGCACAAGCGGAGGAACAUGUGGUUUAAUUCGAUGAUACGCGAGGAACCUUACCCGGGCUCGAACGGCUGAGGAAUGAAUUAGAGAUAAUUCAGUCCGCAAGGACUUCAGUCGAGGUGCUGCAUGGUUGUCGUCAGCUCGUGCCGUGAGGUGUCGGCUCAAGUGCCAUAACGAGCGCAACCCUUGUCGUCAGUUACCAUCAAGUAAAGUUGGGGACUCUGGCGAGACUGCCACCGCAAGGUGAGAGGAAGGGGGGGAUGACGUCAAAUCAGCACGGCCCUUACGUCCGGGGCGACACACGUGUUACAAUGGUGGGUACAGAGGGAUGCUACCUGGUGACAGGAUGCGGAACCCGAAAACCCAUCUCAGUUCGGAUUGGAGUCUGCAACUCGACUCCAUGAAGCUGGAUUCGCUAGUAAUCGCGCAUCAGCCAUGGCGCGGUGAAUACGUUCCCGGGCCUUGUACACACCGCCCGUCAAGCCAUGAAAGCCUGGGGCG